GACGAACGCUGGCGGCGUGCCUAAUACAUGCAAGUAGAACGCACAGUUUAUACCGUAGCUUGCUACACCAUAAACUGUGAGUUGCGAACGGGUGAGUAACGCGUAGGUAACCUGCCUGGUAGCGGGGGAUAACUAUUGGAAACGAUAGCUAAUACCGCAUAAUAUUGAUUAUUGCAUGAUAAUUGAUUGAAAGAUGCUAUUGCAUCACUACCAGAUGGACCUGCGUUGUAUUAGCUAGUAGGUGAGGUAACGGCUCACCUAGGCGACGAUACAUAGCCGACCUGAGAGGGUGAUCGGCCAAACUGGGACUGAGACACGGCCCAGAAUCCUACGGGAGGCAGCAGUAGGGAAUCUUCGGCAAUGGACGAAAGUCUGACCGAGCAACGACGCGUGAGUGAAGAAGGUUUUCGGAUCGUAAAGCUCUGUUGUAAGAGAAGAACGGGUGUGAGAGUGGAAAGUUCACACUGUGACGGUAUCUUACCAGAAAGGGACGGCUAACUACGUG
rnacentral:rRNA from 1 species